rnacentral:rRNA from 1 species
UACGUAGGGGGCAAGCGUUGUCCGGAAUCAUGGGGCGUAAAGCGCGUGUAGGCGGUCCGGUAAGUCCGCUGUGAAAGUCGGGGGCUUAACCCUCGGAUGCCGGUGGAUACUGUCGGGCUUGAGUACGGAAGAGGCGAGUGGAAUUCCUGGUGUAGCGGUGAAAUGCGCAGAUAUCAGGAGGAACACCAAUUGCGAAGGCAGCUCGCUGGGACGUUACUGACGCUGAGACGCGAAAGCGUGGGGAGCAAACAGG